AUUAAUUUCUUCAAAAACUGUUUCUGCAGAUUCAUUUGUCGCAUCUUUGAAUUCGUCAAAAGUUGCACGGGUUUUUGCCCUUUACGAGGUAGAAGGAAUGUCAUCAUCCAGAAUUUGGGAAUCGUGCUGAGGGCGAGCGCUCUUUUCUUCAAGUGCAGUCUACCUAAGUAAGAGUGGAAUAGAUGUGAAAAUAGUAGCACUUUUCAGCUGUUCAUCGGCGGCCUGAUUCGAUUUUGUUGCCAGCACAAAAAGAGAUCAAGAUUUACUCUGUUAGGCGUUAUGAAAACUAAUUCAAAGCAAUUGCUUGGAAAAAGUCGCCCGUUUGCGCUUAACUGUAGGCAAACCGAAAAGCUGCAGAUGUACAAAUGAAUAUUACAGAAUGCCUCCAACAAUUUCAAAGGAAAAAGAAUAAAUGUUGCCACUCUAGUGAAAGUUAAACAGCACGCACGAUCACGGAUAUUACGUGAUUUUUCACUGAAAUCCGCUCACGCUCAUGCGUGACUUUUGCCCAUCUCUAGUCUGUAGCAUCAAAAACGGUGCGGAUUCGUUGCGACAGAAUCGCGUAGGUGUGUGGAUACCUUUACA